rnacentral:rRNA from 1 species
UACGGGGGGUGCGAGCGUUGUCCGGAAUCACUGGGCGUAAAGGGCGCGUAGGUGGCCUGAUAAGGGUGUGGUGAAAGUCCGGGGCUCAACCCCGGAUCUGCCGUGCCGACUGUUGGGCUGGAGUACUGUAGGGGCAGGCGGAAUUCCGGGUGUAGCGGUGGAAUGCGUAGAGAUCCGGAGGAAGACCGGUGGCGAAGGCGGCCUGCUGGACCAACACUGACACUGAAAAGCGAAAGCCAGGGGAGCAAACGGG